rnacentral:rRNA from 1 species
CAGAGACUGCAAGCGUUGUUCGGAUUCAUUGGGCGUAAAGGGUGCGCAGGCGGUCCGGUAAGUCGGGUGUGAAAGCUCGAGGCCUAACCUCGAAUGGUCAUUCGAAACUACCGGGCUAGAGGAUUGGAGAGGAGACUGGAAUAGUUGGUGUAGCAGUGAAAUGCGUAGAGAUCAACUAGAACACCGGUGGCGAAGGCGAGUCUCUGGACAAUUCCUGACGCUCAGGCACGAAAGCCAGGGGAGCAAACGGGAUUAGAUACCCCGGUAGUCCUGGCCCUAAACGGUGUUCACUUGGUGUGCGGGGAGUCGACCCCUGCGUGCCGCAGCUAACGCGAUAAGUGAACCGCCUGAGAAGUACGGUCGCAAGAUUA